GAUGAACGCUGGCGGCGUGCCUAAUACAUGCAAGUCGAGCGAACAGACGAGGAGCUUGCUCCUCUGACGUUAGCGGCGGACGGGUGAGUAACACGUGGAUAACCUACCUAUAAGACUGGGAUAACUUCGGGAAACCGGAGCUAAUACCGGAUAAUAUAUUGAACCGCAUGGUUCAAUAGUGAAAGACGGUUUUGCUGUCACUUAUAGAUGGAUCCGCGCCGCAUUAGCUAGUUGGUAAGGUAACGGCUUACCAAGGCAACGAUGCGUAGCCGACCUGAGAGGGUGCUCGGCCACACGGGAACUGAGACACGGUCCAGACUCCUACGGGAGGCAGCAGUAGGGAAUCUUCCGCAAUGGGCGAAAGCUUGACGGAGCAACGCCGCGUGAGUGAUGAAGGUCUUCGGAUCGUAAAACUCUGUUAUUAGGGAAGAACAAAUGUGUAAGUAACUAUGCACGUCUUGACGGUACCUAAUCAGAAAGCCACGGCUAACUACGUG
rnacentral:rRNA from 1 species